rnacentral:rRNA from 1 species
AUUGAACGCUGGCGGCAGGCCUAACACAUGCAAGUCGAACGAGUGGCGGAGGGGUGAGUAAUGUCUGGGAAACUGCCUGAGGGAGGGGGAUAAAUACUGGAAACGGUAGCUAAUACCGCAUACCAUCAGAUGUGCCCAGAGGGGAAGAGCGAGUUGGUGGGGUAACGGCUCACCAAGGCGACGAUCCCUAGCUGGUCUGAGAGGAUGACCAGCCACCCGGGAACUGAGACACGGUCCAGACUCCUACGGGAGGCAGCAGUGGGGAAUAUUGCACAAUGGGCGCAAGCCUGCUGCAGCCAUGCCGCGUGUAUGAAGAAGGCCUUCGGGUUGUAAAGUACUUUCAGCGGGGAGGCGUUACCCGCAGAAGAAGCACCGGCUAACUCCGUGCCAGCCGCCGCGGUAAUAC